UACGGAGGGUGCAAGCGUUAUCCGGAUUCGCUGGGCUUAAAGGGUGCGUAGGCGGGCCGGUAAGUCAGUGGUGAAAUCUCCGGGCUCAACUCGGAAACUGCCGUUGAUACUAUCUGUCUUGAAUAUCGUGGAGGUGAGUGGAAUAUGUCAUGUAGCGGUGAAAUGCUUAGAUAUGACAUAGAACACCAAUGGCGAAGGCAGCUCACUACACGUAUAUUGACGCUGAGGCACGAAAGCGUGGGGAGCAAACAGG
rnacentral:rRNA from 1 species